CGAGAAUGACCUCCUAUUAUUGCAUCACAUUCCGAGCAAGAAUCUGUUCCUGCACAAGAAAAAUCUCUUGAGACCAUCGAUAACCAGCGACACAGCGACUGGUAGCAGUUAGCAGUGACACAGCGACUAGUAGUUAUUCGCAGCAUUAAGCAGUGAUUCGCAGCGAUCUGUAUUUCUCUUGUACUGUUGGACAUUACUAUCUGUGUUUUUCAGCUGGUUUUGCCUUAGAGUUUACAACCAAGACCUGAACUUCUAAAGGAGCUUCUGUGCCUCAAGACAGGUACAAUGUGAUUGAGGUACAAAGAAAGGUAAGACAAGACAAAAUUGUUUAUCCAAGUGGAACAACAUGGCAUUUUAAUUAAAGGUUCAAGUGACUAGCCAUUAGAUUUCCUUGUUCUUUGAUGUUUGCACACACUGUUAAAGUUAACUCUCAGAGAUAGACUCCUGAACAUUCACAGCAGCCAAGUUAUCUCAAGACAGGUACCCUAUGGUUGAAGUUGCAAGAGAGGUAAGCCAAUACAAAACUGUUCAACGUGACUUUUGUGAGAAAAUCCAUUAAAUUCCCUGUCCUUAAAAUAAAUGAUUAAACUUUAGUUUUGCCGGUGGUUUUGCUGUAAGUUUCAUCAAGUUCUGAACUUGUACAGGAGCUUGUUUUCUAAAAGCUUCAAGUUCCUAGAUUUUAUAUUUGCACAAUAAGUUUCCCAUUCACAAUAAGUUUCCCUUUAGUUUUUUCACUGCUUUCACUAUAGUGUUUACCUCAGUGUCUGAGUAGUGUGAGUGAGUGAGACUGUGUGUGUGUGUGAGAGUGAGUGUGCGUGUGAGAGAGAGAGUAUGACAGUGUGUGUGAGAGAGUGAGUGUUAGAAUGUGUGAAUGGUGUGAGUGUGUGUGUGUGAAAGAGUGAGUGUAUGUGAGAGUGUAUGAGACAGUGAGUGAGUGAGAGUGUGUGAAUGAGAGUGUGUAAGUGAGUGAGUGAUUGUGAGUGUGUCUGAAAAUGUGUGAAUGGUGUGAGUGUGUGUGUGUGUGUGUGAGAGAGUGAGUGAAUGUGAGUGAGUGAACAGGGGGAAGAGCUUUCUCUUAUAGAGCCCCACAGUUAUGGAACAGUCUUCCUAUUAGUGUUCGGGACUCAGACACAGUCUCAGUGUUUAAGUCUAAGCUUAAAACGUAGUUGUUUUCUCAAGCCUACCCUGACUAGAUUCUGUUCUACUACUUCGCAGUCAUAAUUAUCUUUUUUCUCCCUCUCUCCUUUCGCCGAGCCCCACACGAAUUUAUGGAGAUACUAGAGAUCCAGAUCCUUUCUGCCUCUGGAUGGAGCUCAAAUCUUCUUUAAUUCCAGACUGCUGGGACUACGGCUGCUCUUAACGCCAUACAGACUUCAUAUAAAUCCAUAAUGAACUCUUUCACAAUAUCUGUUGUUACCCAGAUGAGGAUGGGUUCCCUUCUGAGUCGGGUUCCUCUCAAGGUUUCUUCCUCUUAAAACAUCUUAGGGAGUUUUUCCUUGCCACCGUCGCCACUCAGUGGCUUGCUCAGUUGGGAUAAAUUCGCACCUUUAAUAUCUGUAUACCAUGUUGAUAUUUCUGUAGAGCUGCUUUGAGACAAUGUCUAUUGUAAAAAGCGCUAUACAAAUAAAAUUGAAUUGAAUUGAAAAA
ensembl:lncRNA